GACGAACGCUGGCGGCGUGCUUAACACAUGCAAGUCGAACGGAAAGGCCCUGCUUUUGUGGGGUGCUCGAGUGGCGAACGGGUGAGUAACACGUGAGUAACCUGCCCUUGACUUUGGGAUAACUUCAGGAAACUGGGGCUAAUACCGGAUAGGAGCUCCUGCUGCAUGGUGGGGGUUGGAAAGUUUCGGCAGUUGGGGAUGGACUCGCGGCUUAUCAGCUUGUUGGUGGGGUAGUGGCUUACCAAGGCUUUGACGGGUAGCCGGCCUGAGAGGGUGACCGGCCACAGUGGGACUGAGAUACGGCCCAGACUCCUACGGGAGGCAGCAGUGGGGAAUAUUGCACAAUGGGCGGAAGCCUGAUGCAGCAACGCCGCGUGCGGGAUGACGGCCUUCGGGUUGUAAACCGCUUUCGCCUGUGACGAAGCGUGAGUGACGGUAAUGGGUAAAGAAGCACCGGCUAACUACGUG
rnacentral:rRNA from 1 species